ensembl:misc_RNA 7SK 7SK RNA
GGAUGUGAGGGUGAUCUAGCUGCGACGUCUGUCACCCCAUUGAUCGCCAGGGUUGAUGCGGCUGAUCUGGCUGGCUAGGCGGGUGUCCCCUUCCUCCCUCACGGCUCCAUGUGCGUCCCUCCCGAAGCUGCGCGCUCGGUCGAAGAGGACGACCUUCCCCGAUAGAGGAGGACCGUUCUUCGGUCGAGGGUCUACGAGUAGCUGCGCCCCCUGCUAGAACCCCCAACAAGCUCUCGAGGAAACCCGAAAUGGUGGGGACUAGCUGUCACUGCUGAGUUCAGGAGCACUCUCGCUGCUGUUUUGUAGGGACCCGCGUAGU